UGCCCCAUGGCUGAGUUGGUUACAGCGUCCGACUGUUACUCACCAUACAUCGGAAGGUCGUGAGUUCGAGCCUCACUGGGGCAG
rnacentral:tRNA from 1 species